ACAAAUACACAACCAAAACGACCCUAACAAAUGUUAAGCAGGUAGUACAACCUAACAUAUACGAUAUUAAUAAUAAUCUAAUACCACAAGUGAAAAAUACUUCCACUUUUAAUGAACGAGUCAUAAAACAUAAUUCGACUUUGACUAAAAUAGAUAAAAAUGUCACAACAGAUAAACAAACUAAUAAGUUUAUCAAAAACAUAAAACAAAACAUACCAUCUGUAUAUAAUAGUAACGAUGUUUAUCCAUUGUCAACCAUACAACCAACAUUAAUAAAAUAUAAUAACAUGAAAACAAAAGUAAAUGAUGAAUCAUAUUUUAGUGAUGAUUAUAAAGUUCAGAGUAUUCGUACUAAUGUGGUCAAUAACAAAGAGUUAAAAACAAAAAAAAAAACACUUAAUCAACAAAAUUAUAUUAUAAAUAAAAAGAAUACAAUUGAAGAUACGGAUAAGAUAAAGGGAGGUAAAGUUUCUUUUGUUAAUAAUGAAAAUAAAAAAAAUAUAUUUGAAUCUGAAAAAAAAAUAUAUAAUACUUCCCAUAUAUCAAAUAUACAAGUAAAUAACAAACUUGAAAAAGAGGCUAUAAAUUAUAACAUAUUAAAUCAUGAUAAUAGUAAUGGUAGUAAUAACUUGAAAAAGCUCAAAACAAAUCUUGUUCCUAGUAUAACAGAAAAAAAAACUAUUAUUGGAAAAAACACGACUGAUUUUCAAAAUUUGCUUAAACAUGCUAAAUACUCGUUUUUAUUGUCUGGUAAUAGCAAUGAAGUUCCAGUAUUCAGACUAAAUGGAAAGGAGGAAAAAGUAACAGGUGAUGGGUUAGAAAAUGAUGACAGGGAUGAAGCUGAGGAAAUAGAGGAGGAAGAGGAGGAGGAAGAUGAAGAGGAGGAAGAUGAAGAGGAGGAAGAUGAAGAGGAGGAAGAUGAAGAAAUAGCUGAAGAGGAAGAAAUAGAGGAAGAGGAAGAAGUAGAGGAGGAGGAGGAGGAGGAAGAGGAAGAGGAAGAGGAAGAGGAAGAAGAAGAGGAAGAAGAUGAAAUAGAGGAGGAAAAUGGAGUAGAGGAGGAAAAUGGAGUAGAGGAGGAAGAAGAAGAGAAGGAGGAAGAAGAGGAGGAAGAGGAAGAGGAAGAGGAAGAGGAAGAAGAAGAGGAAGUAGAGGAGGAAAAUGAAGUAGAGGAGGAAGAGGAAGUAGAGGAGGAGGAAGAGGAAGUAGAGGAGGAGGAAGAAGAAGAGGAAGA
ensembl:lncRNA